rnacentral:rRNA from 1 species
UACACUCCUACGGGAGGCAGCAGUGGGGAAUUUUGGGCAAUGGGCGAAAGCCUGAUCCAGCAAUGCCGCGUGAGUGAAGAAGGCCUUCGGGUUGUAAAGCUCUUUUGUCAGGGAAGAAACGGUGAGAGCUAAUAUCUUUUGCUAAUGACGGUACCUGAAGAAUAAGCACCGGCUAACUACGUGCCAGCAGCCGCGGUAAUACGUAGGGUGCAAGCGUUAAUCGGAAUUACUGGGCGUAAAGCGUGCGCAGGCGGUUUUGUAAGUCUGAUGUGAAAUCCCCGGGCUCAACCUGGGAAUUGCAUUGGAGACUGCAAGGCUAGAAUCUGGCAGAGGGGGGUAGAAUUCCACGUGUAGCAGUGAAAUGCGUAGAUAUGUGGAGGAACACCGAUGGCGAAGGCAGCCCCCUGGGUCAAGAUUGACGCUCAUGCACGAAAGCGUGGGGAGCAAACAGGAUUAGAAACCCUAGUAGUCCCA